AUUGAACGCUGGCGGCAGGCCUAACACAUGCAAGUCGAGCGGAUGAAGGGAGCUUGCUCCUGGAUUCAGCGGCGGACGGGUGAGUAAUGCCUAGGAAUCUGCCUGGUAGUGGGGGAUAACGUCCGGAAACGGGCGCUAAUACCGCAUACGUCCUGAGGGAGAAAGUGGGGGAUCUUCGGACCUCACGCUAUCAGAUGAGCCUAGGUCGGAUUAGCUAGUUGGUGGGGUAAAGGCCUACCAAGGCGACGAUCCGUAACUGGUCUGAGAGGAUGAUCAGUCACACUGGAACUGAGACACGGUCCAGACUCCUACGGGAGGCAGCAGUGGGGAAUAUUGGACAAUGGGCGAAAGCCUGAUCCAGCCAUGCCGCGUGUGUGAAGAAGGUCUUCGGAUUGUAAAGCACUUUUAGUUGGGAGGAAGGGCAGUAAGUUAAUACCUUGCUGUUUUGACGUUACCAACAGAAUAAGCACCGGCUGACUUCGUG
rnacentral:rRNA from 1 species